rnacentral:lncRNA from 1 species
GCGAUAUCUGAUUUCGGAUCACAUGAUUUUCCAAACAAAAAGUCAAUUAGGUAAUAUUUAAAGAGAGAUCAAGAUGUCUUUGAGUUGAUUUAAGAUUCGAUUAUGGUUUUUGGAUUGCUUUCCAAUGGCAUAACUAUACAAAUACACAAAAUUUGUUUCAUAUAGAGCUUAAGACAUCUUACAAAUGACCAAAUGACAUAGAAUAUUACCCAAAUGAAACUAAACCGGAGACUCCAAUUAUAAUCGGUUGAGCUGGUUAAAACCAUCAAGCUAAGUGGUCAAGGGCCUAGGAUGAUAAGGCCAUCUACAUUGGUAGAUUCUCAAAAAAGAGUUUCUCAUGAAUAAAAUAUUGCUUAUUUUAAUUGAAUUCAGAUAAAUUAUUAAUUUUAAUGAAAAAAAAGAAAAUCAACCAUUCCUGAAAAAACACGUGGCCAGAAACGUCUCUCAGAGUUUCUGAAAACAGAGACGAUUCUCACUUCUCUCUCUUCUUUUUCACCACUUUAUAUUAUUUUAAUAAUAAGUAUCUUUUCUAGAUAUUGCAGAUGGAGGGACAAACGCUCCUCCUUCUCUCUAUAAAACAAAGUCGCCGCCGUUGUUGCUAGGGUUUCGGUCCCAGUGACUUUUUCAGCACCAGAACCGAAAUUUCUUGGUUUCUUCAUGUUUAGUUUUUGUUUUCCUUCCUCUCUGACAGAUCUGAACCUUUUUUUUUUCCAACGGUUUCAGAUCUAAAAUUUCAGAUCUAAAUCUACAAUUUCUAAAUUUUUCGUCUUUGGAUUUUGCUGCUUGUUUUUGUCCCUUUUAUGUGCAGCACCAGUUCUGGCCGUUCGAACCUCGGCAGAGGCGAGUUCUUUCACCGCCUUCAGAAGUAGAUUUCUCUCCUUUGAAGAUCUCGAUCUCCUUUCUUCUUCUUAUGACCAUCAUCAUUUGGGUCGCGGGGUGUUUGUUUGUUCACCGCCGUUUGUGGUAAAGAGAGUCCUGGUUUUGUUGGUUUUGUUUUCCUUAGUGUGAAUCUGUUUGUUUUUAUGGUGAUUUAGACUUUGUAAUUUUAUUUUUGAUUUUUUGAGUUUGGAUUCCGAGAAGAUUGGUUCAGAUGCGUGUAUUUGUAUGUUUGAGUUUAUUUCCUCUUUAAUUUUUCUUAAUUAGAUUUUUGUUUCUAGGAGUCUACAUGUACUCGCCGGCUUAUGUCUUUGGAAGGUUUGAUUGCAUUGCCGCCUAUUGUAUUCAGAACUUAUUUCAUCAAUAUAAUUUACCAUUCUAGUGAAGAAAAAAAAAAUAUUGUUGAUGGAGGUGCUCUAACUCUUCUAAUCCUAAUACUAAAAACAAGAUCGUUGAAAAUUAAAAAGAAUAAUCCAAUUAGAACAAAGGUACAUCUUUCUUCUUUGGAUCUAAAGAAAUAAUAUACUCCCAAAAGUAGAAUGUACACUUGGUGAAUGGGACAUGAAGCACAUGUGUGGAAGCUAAUAUAGGAGUUUUUCUUCUCACGUGUCUUUUCCUACAAAGCUUCAUGAUCAGUUGAUCACCUCUCCGCUUACACUUGUCUUAAAAAAAAAAAGCCAACGCUUAGCGUACCACACAGAUUAUAGACUUCUGAAUUUUUUGUUGGCAUGAAGUUGCUCUGCCAAAAAAGGGUCAUCACCCUUCUAGCAAACAAUAUAAUCUCAAUCUCUUUACUGACCAAGCCUCCCAUUUGUGAUGAUGGGGUCAUCCAGGAUGACAAAAAUUGUUUGGCUGAGAUCUUAUCAAUCAAUUGACCAAUAAGCAUAGUUUCUAUUUCACAUUUUUUCAAUCUGGUUAUUCCCAUAUCCGCCUGCUUUUUGUAACUUAUGAAUAAAAGUAUUAAACCAAAAAAUUUCUGAUUUCUAAACCUACAUUUGAUUUUAUCUAAUCUCCUUUCCACAUCACAAAACAAAACUAUGUAACUGUAGUUAUAAGUUAUUGGCUUACAUAUAAACUAUGUAUGUUUUUCUAAGUCAUUGUUUUUUGGAUUCUUGAAUUGAUAAAGAAAUUCAUGACGAUUCUGUAUGGAAGAACUGCGAACUUUAAAACUCUAUUUUGACUGUAAUCCCUAACCACUAACCAGAGAAGACUAGAGAGAAUAUCAAAGAAUCAGUGAAAUUGUUUCAGUUACUAAAUUAAACGAAUACAGAGGUCAAUGAACUCGAAACAUACCCACCUGAGCAUAGGAAGGAAGAAGGAAGAAGGAGAAAAUAGACUGGAAUCAUCCUCUAAUUCUAUGUAAAACAACAUAAGAACAAACACUAUCUACACAUUACAUAACUUGGUUUAAAAUUCAACUGGCCAAAAUCUAAUCCAAUAGAAUAGGAAUACAAAAACAGAGUAAAAACAGAAAGAAACCGCUAUGACAUAACCACUAGAAACUUGUAGGCAGUGUUUUUCAUGUUCUGAUGUAAUUAGGUUCAUCAAACUAGUUACUUGAGGAUUUAUAAAAUCUAAAGAUACUUAAUCCGUGCUCCGACUCACCACAAGUUCAUGUCAUCACUGAAAAAUCCAAAGAACUUUCAGCCUAAUCCUAAUGGUGUGUUCUAAAGAACUCCAAAUCCAAUCGACCAAACACUACACAACCUAUAAGCCAUAGAAAGCUGCAUACACCAAAGUAAGACAAACUCACAUGUUCCUGUCACCACUGAAAAGUAACAGAACUUCAGCUUAAUCGUAAUUGUAACCCAAUUUAAAAAACGUUACAUAACUCAAUGGUAAGCUGCAUAGAGACACUAAUGGUCACCAAAGCAAAGAUGCAAAUGUGCUUAAAGAAACUGAACAAAACAAUAAACUCAACACACCACUCUAACAUUCACAAAGACAUAACCCGAUGAUACUAACCGUAAUUACACAAUGAAUGACACAAAUCAAACGAUGUGGUUGUUGAAUACACAUCAAUCAAAGCAAUCCAAAACACACAUAGCAGAAAAGGAAAACAAUUUACCAACAAAGAUGCAUUAUUGUUAAAUAUCAAAUCCCAUAAAGCCAAACCAAGCAACAAAAUGAAGACACUUGCACUCAUAUUAAGGAAGAAGAAACAUCUUCAAAUAUGCAUAAUACCAAAUCCACAAGUCAUCAUCAUCAUUACAAGAACAGCAAAACCCUAAGAGACAAGAGAUUAUAAUAAGGAAGUAAAACCAAAUUUCUCAAGCCUCACUCUUCUCCUCCUCUGAAGCAGGACCAGCAUCAUCUUUAGAAACCUCACUAGCAUCAGUAUUAGCAUCCUCCACACUUCCAUUUCCAACACUAGCAUUAGAUCUAGCCUUAACAGAUUCAAGCAUCCUCUUACUAAUCUCUUUAGAAUAAAGCUCAAGAAUCUUAAUCCCAUCAUCAUCACUCGACACAGCAUUCGAAGCAACACCAUAAGCCUCUUCUUCGAUAAGUUUCGCGACGGUGGUUGCAUCGUCAGAUUUAAGAGUACCGUAUCUCUUAGAGAGGAUUGAUUCGGUGGAUAAGGUCUCGAUCAGGCGAUUCAGAACGGCGUCGCGAGUUUUCUGAGUCGGUGGCCAGAUUCGGAGAGAGAUUCCUCCUGGUUUCUUCUCUGAUUCGGCUUCUUUCGUCAGAUCUGUGUCUUUUGAGGCUGCUUCUUGAGAUGUUGGAUCUGUCAUUGCAGAAAUAGUGGUGGAGCUUUCGGAUUCCGGUGGCGGCGAUGAGAUCGUGGUGUUGAUUGUCUCGGCGGUUUCUGCCAUUUUCGAAGUUUAGGGAUUUUGGAGAUUCUUUGGAAGGAUCAGUUAUGACGACGGUUCACGAAAUGACAAAGUCUUUAGAGUUUAGAGUUUAGACAUUGAUUGGUUUGGUUCGGUGUUAUUAUAAAUAAUUAAAUAACCGAAAAUUCAGGAAGUAUUUGAAAUUUAAACUUUGUGUGGUGGAGAAAACUAUAGUCAAUAUAAAUAUUUCAGUUAUAAUCUUAAACUUACGUUCAAAUCUUUUUAUGAAUUAAUUACGGUUUUAUUUUAAAUUAAUUACAUAAAAUACAAUUAAUAAUAAAAAUUUCAGCUAAUUUUAUUGAUAUCAGAUGAAGAUAAUAUCAGUAUAUAAAAUACAAUAAAUGUUUUAAAUAUAAAUGUUUUGUGGAAAAUAGUAUAUAUAUAAAAUCAAAAUAAGUAGGGUAACUUGAUUUUUUCUUACAAAUUAUUUUCAACUGAACUAAUCUUUAGGUAAUCCAAAUAUUAUUUUACAAAAUCUAAAUAGGGUAAUAAUCAUAAAUGACGAUAACCACUACAUUCUCAUUCGACUAUCUUUUCAAGCGACUUUGUAUUAUCUUUGGAGAGAGUGGAAUGAGAGGAAGCUCACAACAAGAAAUGUCGGACCCAUAUGCAGCUUCUAGCCAUGAUCGAGAAAACCAUUCACUCUCGCAUCAUGUCAUUGUGUUACUACGAGAAACCAAAACUUAAAGAUUGCUUCAAACUUUGUAUGUGACGAGACCCCUACAUUAGUCACUGCCAAGAUCUGUCCUCAAAUCUUUGAUCUGUUUUGUUAUGUCUUGUUUUUGUAUAUUGUCACAUUCUCAUUGUAAAUUAUUAGUUACCAAUCAACAAAUUUUACAUCAUAAAAAAGCAGUCAAGAGAUUUUUUUAUUUUAGAACUAUUUGGCAAUCAAGUUUGAAAAAUAUAUUGGGUGGAGGAUCAAUUGAACAUGUGGAUGAUGAGUAAAAUUAGUUUUGAGUCUAGUUAAAAGGUGAUCAAGGUCUAUUAUGAUAUUUGGUGAGCUUAGAAGAAAUUAGAAAACAUAAUCGUUUCUCAACCGAAUGUAUAUUCGCAACGUUUCUUCACCUUGAAUUUGCCUUGGGUUGGCUCUGCUCUAAGGAGGUGUCUUUGUUGUUUUUGAUUGUUUGUUGUGUUUCUUCACUUUGAUAGGAUAAAGGUUUGUUCCGCAUGAUGUUCCAGUGAGCUUUCAGUGUUGGAUAGAAGCGGUGAUUUGGUCUAGAAUGUCUAUAUUAUAUUGUGGGAACUGAUUUUUCUAGUUUUAUGCUUGAGAAUGGUGGCCUUUGGUGGCCAAAGGCGGCUUUUCUGGAUGUUCGUAGAUGCUCUUUUGCUGUCAGGUAAGUCUAUUCUAGCGGUUUUGUUUUUGUGUUAGUUCUCAAAAAAACUAUUAGCGUCUUUUUGUUUUAAGGUUUUGAAGAUAGACCUCAUAAAGAAAUUGCUCGUGGUAACAAUAAUGAAGAUUCAAUUUUUGUUGGAGAUGGGACAAUUAUACAAAUGUCUGAGCCUCACGGUUCAACAUUGAUGUUCUUCAUCGAACCUAUGCUAGCUGCUUUCCACUUAGCUUUCAUUAUAGUUUUCGUAAGUUUAUUUAGUUAUAGAUUUUGGUCUUUAUAUCUUCUUUGUUUUUUUCUGUAAUCGUUUUCACAAUUUAGACCAUACUAAACAACAUAAAAUUCUCAAAAUUAUAAAAUAAUCACUAUAAAAAAAAAUAAAAAAGGAUCAAAAUUUUAUUUAAAAAAACCCUAAAAAACUAGUUAGUUUUAAAAAGUCAUGAUCUUGUUUAAAGAAAAUUGUACAUUUAACAAUUCUAAAUAUUUUAUUAAAAAAUAUAAGAUUAGUAAAGUACAAAAUAUCACAAUCUUUUUUUUUUUUUUUUUUUUUGUCAAAGACAAAAUAUUACAAUCUAAAUUAUAAAUUUAACAGAUGUCUUCGAAGGGACAAAAAUGUCAAAUGUCAAAUUUGUUUCUGAAUCGAACCACCACGGCCAAAACCCCAAUCUUUACCGGUCAAAAACAUUUUCAGGCAAAAUCUGAAAACAAAAAAACAUAAAUCACCCGCCCAAACAAAUUUCAGAGAAUUUUCGCACCUCCAAAAUUUUUUAGUUGACUCCCAAAAAACUCAAACUCCAAAAAAAUCACAGAGAGCGCCACAAUCAGAAAAAAUGGCGCUUUUGCUCUUCCCUUUUUCUUCCCCUUCUCACCUUCUCUUCUUCCACUCAUCCGAUCUCUCAAUCCUCUCAAAUCUCAAACUCUCUCUUCCCAUCACUCUCUCGCUCUCUCUUCAAUCUCAUCUCAAUCAUGACAGAGCAAGAGAUCUGCGUGAGGGUUACAAGAGCGGCGGCGAAACGAAAAGCUUCGACGGCGAUGGGUAUUGACGGAGAUCGGGUCAACAAGAAGAGAGUUGUUCUCGGUGAGCUUCUAAACGUCUCCAAUGUCAAUCUCUUGGCUAAUCUCAAUCAGAAGAAAGAAACCCAGAAGCCAAAAAGGAAUCUUAAACCUCCUCCGGCGAAACAGAUUAAGUCAGCUCCGGUGGCUAUUAUUGACCUAGAAUCAAAAUCUGACAUUGAUUCUCGAUCUGAUGAUCCUCAAAUGUGUGGACCUUAUGUUGCUGAUAUCUAUGAGUAUCUUCGUCAACUUGAGGUAAUAAUGAUCUUGUGUUUUGGAUUUAGAAUCAUUUACUUAGUUCUUGAAUUGGAUCUGAAUUGGAUUUGGUGAAUUCAGGUGAAGCCAAAGCAGAGACCUUUACCAGAUUACAUAGAGAAAGUUCAGAAAGAUGUAACACCAAGUAUGAGAGGUGUUUUGGUUGAUUGGUUAGUGGAAGUUGCUGAAGAGUAUAAACUUGGAUCUGAAACACUUUAUCUCACUGUCUCACAUAUUGAUAGAUUCUUGUCUUUAAAGACUGUUAACAAGCAAAAGCUACAGCUUGUUGGAGUUUCUGCUAUGCUUAUUGCUUCGUAAGUGUUUUAUGAUUCUUCCUCUCUUGUGUUUGUUGUCAUUGUUUAUGUAUGGAAGCUAAUGGAAGUAUUGAAAUGUUGUAGGAAGUAUGAAGAGAUAAGUCCUCCUAAAGUGGAUGAUUUUUGUUACAUUACGGAUAAUACGUUUUCGAAACAAGAUGUUGUGAAGAUGGAAGCUGAUAUACUUCUUGCUCUUCAGUUUGAGUUGGGAAGACCAACGAUUAAUACUUUUAUGAGGUUAGAUUUGUGUGUAUUGGUGAUGAUUACUUAUUGGUUUGUCUUAGUUUCAUUGUUCUGAUUUUGUGUGUUGGUGUUUGUGUAGACGGUUUACUAGAGUUGCACAAGACGAUUUCAAAGUUCCACAUUUGCAGCUAGAGCCUCUUUGUUGCUAUUUGUCAGAAUUGAGUAUAUUAGAUUAUAAGACUGUGAAGUUUGUGCCGUCUCUGUUGGCUGCUUCUGCUGUUUUUCUCGCUCGGUUCAUCAUCCGUCCGAAACAACAUCCUUGGGUAAGCAUAUUUGUCUCAGUCUCUUUCAGGUUUUAGUCUGCUGUGGUCAUUGUUUAGAAUGAGACACUAAUGAUUUAUGGUUGUGAAUAUGUAAACAGAACCAAAUGUUAGAAGAGUACACAAAGUACAAAGCGGCUGAUCUACAAGUGUGUGUUGGAAUCAUACAUGACUUGUAUUUGAGCAGAAGAGGAGGUGCUUUACAAGCUGUUAGAGAGAAAUAUAAGCACCAUAAGGUACUUAAACAUUACACAUUGAUAAAAUCAUUUGAAUAAGCAGAGCUUUCUUGAUACUUAAUGUUGCUUCUUCUCGGUACAGUUCCAAUGCGUUGCGACCAUGCCUGUUUCACCAGAGCUGCCGGUUACCUUUUGGGAGGAUGUUACCAUUUGAUCUGAGGUUAUGCUAUCUUAAGCAAAUGUUACGGAGCUGGAUUACCGAAUCUUGUUUCAAAUAGUAUAAUGGACACAGAUCUUCAAGUGAAGCUAGAAGAGUAAGAAAUAUAGAAGUGAAGGCAGGAGCAAAUAAGUCUGCGUUAUGUGAAGAUGUGUGAUGUAUUAUUGAAAUCUCUUCUUUUUUAUUUACAAAAUUUUAGUGUGAAAUUCGGAAUAAUAUAAUUUUAUACAAUUAUGCAAUAUGAUAUAAGUAUUUAUGUGACAUGAUCUUAUUUUGUUUAAGCAUUGAGCCUACUACUGUAUGUUUAUACUUAAUGAAAAUUCCUAGAGGGCUAAAACUCUAGAAGACAUUGUUGUUAAUUUAAAGAAACUAAUGAAAAUCUCAAGAAACAAAAGAAAAGAAAAGAUUGUCUAUGAGAUUGAUAAUCAAGUUUACUAAAGAGAGAUUAAACUUGAGAAACAAGAAACAAGGGAGCUUUAGCGAUGACUUGAAAAGUUUCGGUGUGAAGAUCCAAAGACAAAACCAUGGUUUCAACUUUCACCCUCGUGUGAACCAGUGAAGUGAGCCAUCAACAUACACAGGAUCUUGGGUGUGAGAAACCAGAUAAGGGGAUGCAGGACAACGUACCUCCAAGUGUUGGUUGCAAAAUCAAAAACUUCACAAGUUGUAGCGUUCUCGUUUAGGCCUAACUCAGCGGAAUAAGCAAAUCAAAUCGAAAUUAUAAUUAGGGUUCUACUUUACAAUUUUCUCCAAAGUAAAAUUACAAGUUUUAGAUUAAAAAAAGAUAAUUAUAUGUAAUUACUUUUUGAGAUUUUUAAUCAAGUAAAAAAAGGUAAUUUCUCUAAAUUAACACGUUUUGGAACGAUUUUUUUUUUAAUUUCCUUUUUUUAAUUACUUGGGAUUUCGUGUUCAACAAGUUAUUGUUUUGGGCUUUGGUUUAAUUUUCCUUUUUUUUUUAGUCUGUCUCAUCUCUCAUCUGAAUUCUGAAACCUGGUUGUUUUAGGAUAGAGUCUUCUACUCUAUAUAUAGGACUUAGUGUAAGAUUUAUUGUUGUUCUUUCGAAGAUGUGUUCUUGUUUUUCGAUAAAUAUGGUGUCUAAGAAAGAUAAACAGAUUCAUUCCGACCAUAACCCUCAAGAUGCUUCCCCGGUAGAGUGGGCGGAAAUUCGACAUAAGCUACUUGCGUUUCAAGAGAACAUUCAAUCAGGCUCUGACAUUGACGCUAGGUCUGAUGAUCCACAGAUGUGUGGACUUUAUGUCUCAGAUAUCUACGAGUAUCUCCGUGAAUUAGAGGUACGUAAUAAGAUCUCCUACUUGCUCUGUUUUUGGACUUAGAACAUUGACAAGUUUCAAUAGGUCAAUUUAGUAUACUUUAUCUGAAGAGUUUCUAUGAUUGUUCUCUGUUUGGACUUAGAAUUUGUGGAUAUGUUCUGAAGAUUUGUGUUUUUGGUUUGGUGAAUAUUCAGGUGAAGCCAAAGCUAAGACCUUUACAUGAUUACAUUGAAAAGAUUCAAGAAGAUAUAACACCAAGCAAGAGAGGUGUUUUGGUAGAUUGGUUAGUGGAAGUUGCUGAAGAGUUCGAACUCGUGUCUGAAACACUCUAUCUCACUGUCUCUUACAUUGAUAGAUUCUUGUCAUUAAAGAUGGUUAACGAGCACUGGCUUCAGCUUGUGGGAGUUUCUGCAAUGUUUAUCGCUUCGUAAGUGUUUUUGAUCCUCUUGUAUUACUCUCUUUGCUAUUCAUUGUCAUGUUGAAACUUACAUAUGGAGUGGCUUCUCUUUUUUGGCAUUUGAUAUAAAUAGGAAGUAUGAAGAGAAACGUCGCCCUAAAGUGGAGGAUUUUUGUUACAUUACGGCUAAUACUUAUACGAAACAAGAUGUGUUGAAGAUGGAAGAGGAUAUACUUCUCGCGCUUGAGUUUGAACUAGGAAGGCCUACGACAAAUACUUUUCUAAGGUUAGAAUUGUGAUGAAUAAUACUGACUUUUGGUUGUAUCUUAUGGUUCUUUGUUCUCAUCUUUUGUUGUGUUUGUGCAGACGGUUCAUAAGGGUUGCACAAGAAGAUUUCAAAGUGCCAAACUUGCAGCUAGAGCCUCUUUGUUGCUAUCUGUCAGAACUAAGUAUGUUAGAUUAUAGUUGUGUGAAGUUUGUUCCAUCUUUGUUGGCUGCUUCUGCUGUCUUUCUCGCUCGAUUCAUCAUCCUUCCUAACCAACAUCCUUGGGUAAGAACUUUUGUCUCAAUCUCUCUUUUUCAGGUUUAUAUGUUGAGUUAAUCUUUUGAAUGAGACACUAAUAAUCUAUGGCUUGUAAUGUAAAACAGAGUCAAAUGUUGGAAGAAUGCACAAAGUACAAAGCGGCUGAUCUACAAGUGUGUGUGGAGAUCAUGCUUGACUUGUACCUGAGCAGAAGUGAAGGUGCUUCAAAAGCUGUUAGAGAGAAAUACAAGCAACAUAAGGUAAUUGACAUAUUACAAAUUAUGAAAUCAUUUGAUUUAAUUAGUAGUAUCAUUUAUACUUAAAUGUUGCUUUUUAUGGUACAGUUCCAAUACGUUGCGGCAAUUCCUGUCUACCAAGAGCUUCCGGUUACCUUUUGGGAGGAUGUUGUUACCAUUUGAUCAGAACCAAUCUUUCAUUUCCCAAUUGUUACUGAGCUCGAUUACUAAGGGACACUGAUCAACAGUUGAAGCUAGAGGAGUCAUAUGUUAUAUGUAUCGAAGUGAAGCAGGAGCAAAUAAUUUGUGUUGUGAAGAUGUAUUGUGUUAUUACUUGAUUAACAUUGUGGUGACAAAUUAAUGUGUUACUCUGGAAAUUUAUACGAUUAUGCAAUAUGAUAAGAAGUAUUUUAUGUGACAUGAUUUUAUUUGUUUAAUCAUUGAGCCUCCUAUGACAAAAUUUAUAAGUUCCUAGAAGGCCAAAACUUUAGUAGUCAAUAAUUUACUUCAAAUGGUAUCGAAACCAGAUGAAUGGGAAGACAUGACAAGAUAAGCCUUUAGACUUGCUAUGAUCCUUGACAAAAACAAAACAAAACAGAAAUUGUUCAUUUAAGUCAAUAAAAAGGCAAUUUCUA